GAUGAAGAACGUAGCGAAAUGCGAUAAGUAAUGUGAAUUGCAGAAUUCAGUGAAUCAUCGAAUCUUUGAACGCACAUUGCGCCCGCCAGUAUUCUGGCGGGCAUGCCUGUCUGAGCGUCAUUUCAACCCUCAUGCCCCUAGGGCGUGGUGUUGGGGAUCGGCCAAAGCCCGCGAGGGACGGCCGGCCCCUAAAUCUAGUGGCGGACCCGUCGUGGCCUCCUCUGCGAAGUAGUGAUAUUCCGCAUCGGAGAGCGAUGAGCCCCUGCCGUUAAACCCCCAACUUUCCAAGGUUGCCCUCAGAUCAGGUAGGAAUACCCGCUGAACUUAAGCAUAUCAAUAAGCGGAGGA
rnacentral:misc_RNA from 1 species